rnacentral:rRNA from 1 species
AAAACGACUCUCGACAACGGAUAUCUCGGCUCUCGCAUCGAUGAAGAACGUAGCGAAAUGCGAUACUUGGUGUGAAUUGCAGAAUCCCGUGAACCAUCGAGUCUUUGAACGCAAGUUGCGCCCCAAGCCGUUAGGCCGAGGGCACGCCUGCCUGGGUGUCACGC